UGAUCCGUCUCUUCUUCAAAACCUGAUCAUAUUCACCCAUAAGGUUUCUACCCAAAAUCCCAAUCGUUCAACUGUGCUUAGCCGCAAGCGACCACCAAUCGACUGUUUGUAGUCGUUACUGAGUUGCUUUUACUAUAACAAUCAACCAUGUUCCAAUAGACCUCUUUGAAAAGCUGCUCACAAUGAAACUGCAAAUGUAUAUCUGACUUCCUCAUUAUCUUAUUGGAAAUACUUAAUGCAAUCUUGACCUACGCAUUCCCAAGGAACCCAGAGGUGCGUGGUUAAAGUUAUUCGGUAUAGUAGGCAACUUGGAAGAUGGUUGGGUUGGUAGGAUGGAUAAGCAUUGAAAUGGUUCUUUUCUUAGAAAAGGUCAAAAUGAUUGGGUUGGAUUGGCUUGACCUGCUUGAUUCAAAAUAAAACCCAAAUUAACGCAUUAAUAAGUAGUCAUCAUGUGAAUCAUAUUACCUAAAUGUAAAUAUAUGGUUUCAAAGAGUAGCAGUACUUGCCCUCAU
rnacentral:lncRNA from 1 species